UUGCGGCUGGGAUCCCCUCCUUUUUAAGGAUGAUCCUUCAGCGAGCUCACGCUCACUAUCGGAUCGUUUAGAAACAUCAGUGGCCAACAGAUCGCCGAUCGUUGAGCGGCAUUGGCGGGAUUUCGCCGUCUUCGUUUCUCUUUCUUCCCGGACGAACACGCGCUGGGCCUGCAUCAUGCAGGAUCCCACGGUCCCUGACGGGAUAUGCGUUAGGGGCUUGUAGCUCAGUUGGUUAGAGCGCGCGCUUGAUAAGCGUGAGGUCGGAAGUUCAAGUCUUCCCAGGCCCACCACUUUCAUCGAGUGAGCAUUCGUCUUCUGGUUACGGGGCCAUAGCUCAGCUGGGAGAGCGCGUGCUUUGCAAGCAUGAGGUCGUCGGUUCGAUCCCGUCUGGCUCCACCAGAUGGUUUGAUCACCGAGAUCUUGCACCGUCGUCCGCGAAACAUCACUUCGCAUCCUGCUAGUCUGGAUAGACAGCAAGAUGCGUGUUUUCUGACAUCGUAAAGAGGAGAUCGAUCCGAGUUGGGUCGUGCAGCAGAUUGUUGCGCGAAUCCUUCAUUAUCUCCGGAUCAUUUUCGGCGCUCGCUUUCAGCCGUGAGGUUGAAUGCGAGUUGUAAAAUGAUCCUUUUAGCGAAGCUUGACCGCCUCGCUAUCGGAACGAUCUUACGAAGCAAGCUGGUCUUUCUAGUCAAUGUCCGGCUGCACGUAGCAUUCAUCGAGGGUGCGCGCCGUAAGGCAAUCGUGCAGACAACAUUCUGCCGAGUGUGUGGACAUUGAUAAUGAGAGCAAUCAAGUGCCUUAAGGGUGUUCGGUGGAUGCCUUGGCGCUGAGAGGCGAUGAAGACGUGCUACGCUGCGAUAAGCCGUGGGGAGCUGCGAAGAAGCUUUUGAUUCCGCGGAUUUCCGAAUGGGGAAACCCCGGA
rnacentral:misc_RNA from 1 species